AGAGUUUGAUCAUGGCUCAGGACGAACGCNGGCGGCGUNNCUCAAACAUGCAAGUCGAGCGUGGGCGUGCUGUCUCGCAAGAGAUGGUACGCUCUAGCGGCGAACGGGUGAGUAACACGUGGGGAACCUGCCCUCCAGACGGGGACAACCUCGGGAAACCGGGGCUAAUACNG
rnacentral:rRNA from 1 species